UCUCUCUCUCUCUCUCUCUCUCUCUCUGUGUGUGUGUGUGUGUGUGUGAGAGAGAGAGAGUGAGAGAGAGAGAGA